rnacentral:rRNA from 1 species
AACGAACGCUGGCGGCAGGCUUAACACAUGCAAGUCGAGCGCACUCUUCGGAGUGAGCGGCAGACGGGUGAGUAACGCGUGGGAAUCUACCUAUCUCUAGGGAAUAACUCAGGGAAACUUGUGCUAAUACCCUAUACGUCCGUAAGGAGAAAGAUUUAUCGGAGAUAGAUGAGCCCGCGUUGGAUUAGCUAGUUGGUGGGGUAAAGGCCUACCAAGGCGACGAUCCAUAGCUGGUCUGAGAGGAUGAUCAGCCACACUGGGACUGAGACACGGCCCAGACUCCUACGGGAGGCAGCAGUGGGGAAUAUUGGACAAUGGGCGCAAGCCUGAUCCAGCCAUGCCGCGUGAGUGAUGAAGGCCCUAGGGUUGUAAAGCUCUUUCACCGGUGAAGAUAAUGACGGUAACCGGAGAAGAAGCCCCGGCUAACUUCGUG